AGCUUUGCACAGUUGGCAGUAUUAUAGCCAAUGAGGUUUAUCCGCGGUAUGAUUAUUGCUAAUUGAAAACUCUUCCGAAUACCCUGCCGUGAUGAUUUGAAAUACAGCGGCAUUGGCAAUUUUUGACAGUCUCUACAGAGA
rnacentral:snRNA from 1 species